rnacentral:misc_RNA from 1 species
GAUGAAGAACGUAGCGAAAUGCGAUAAGUAAUGUGAAUUGCAGAAUUCAGUGAAUCAUCGAAUCUUUGAACGCACCUUGCGCUCCUUGGUAUUCCAAGGAGCAUGCCUGUUUGAGUAUCAUUAAAUUAUCAACUGUGCCAAUUUGGUUACAGAUUGGAUGUGGGAGAUUCUUUUUGCAGGCCUUUGACUUCUCUUUGAGAAAAAAAAUGAAAGGUCGGCUCUCCUGAAAUGUAUUAGCAGUGCCUUUGUUGGUUCAUUAGGUGUGAUAAAUUGUCUACAUCUUCGCAUGAUACCUUCAUUUGUAAAGGUCAUAUUGCUUCUAAAUUGUCUUUGAUUGGACGCAAAACAUAUAUAAUGUUUGACAAACUUGAUCUCAAAUCAGGCAGGACUACCCGCUGAACUUAAGCAUAUCAAUAAGCGGAGGA